rnacentral:rRNA from 4 species
GAGUUUGAUCGUGGCUCAGAUUGAACGCUGGCGGCAUGCCUUACACAUGCAAGUCGAACGGCAGCACGGGAGCUUGCUCCUGGUGGGCGAGUGGCGAACGGGUGAGUAAUGCAUCGGAACGUAUCCUGGAGUGGGGGAUAACGUAGCGAAAGUUACGCUAAUACCGCAUAUUCUGUGAGCAGGAAAGCGGGGGACCUUCGGGCCUCGCGCUCUUGGAGCGGCCGAUGUCGGAUUAGCUAGUUGGUGAGGUAAAGGCUCACCAAGGCGACGAUCCGUAGCAGGUCUGAGAGGAUGAUCUGCCACACUGGAACUGAGACACGGUCCAGACUCCUACGGGAGGCAGCAGUGGGGAAUUUUGGACAAUGGGGGCAACCCUGAUCCAGCCAUGCCGCGUGAGUGAAGAAGGCCU